rnacentral:rRNA from 1 species
CCUACGGGUGGCAGCAGUGGGGGAUAUUGCACAAUGGGGGGAACCCUGAUGCAGCGACGCCGCGUGGGUGAAGAAGCGCCUCGGCGCGUAAAGCCCUGUCAGCAGGGAAGAAAAUGACGGUACCUGAAGAAGAAGCCCCGGCUCACUACGUGCCAGCAGCCGCGGUCAUACGUAGGGGGCAAGCGUUAUCCGGAUUUACUGGGUGGAAAGGGGGCGCAGACGGCGAUGCAAGCCAGGAGUGAAAGCACGGGGCCAAACCCCGGGACUGCUCUUGGAACUGCGUGGCUGGAGUGCAGGAGGGGCAGGCGGAAUUCCUGGGGUAGCGGUGAAAUGCGUAGAUAUCAGGAGGAACACCGGUGGCGAAGGCGGCCUGCUGGACUGCAACUGACGUUGAGGCCCGAAAGCGUGGGGAGCAAACAGGAUUAGAUACCCCUGUAGUC